rnacentral:rRNA from 1 species
ACACAUUCUAGAGCCUAAUUCAUUUCAAUUAACAAUUAAAAUUACACUCAAAUCCAAAUUCUAAACCUUAAUGCUAAAGUUCAUCCUUAAAUAAAUUUAUUGUAAUCCAUCACUACUUAAAUAAGCUGCACCUUGAUCUGAUUUUUAAUAUAAUAAUAUAUUCAAAUUAUAUAUUUCCAAAAAUAAUUAACAACGACGAUAUACAAGCAAAACUUAAGUUUUAUUAAUCGUGGAUUAUCGAUUACAGGACAGAUUCCCCUGAUUGGAAUAAAAAACCGCCAAAUUUUUUGAUUUUAAAGAACAUAACUUAUAUUCAUCAGGCAUAACUUUCCACACCUAGAAUAAUGGGGUAUCUAAUCCCAGUUUAUUGUCUAGAUUUCUUAACCUCAUGAUCAAAAAUUUAAUUAAAUAAAAAAUAGGAUUUCACCCAAUAUUUCACCAAAAUAAAAAUCAAUUCUCAUUAAUUAAGUAUAUUAACCGAAAAAAAAAUAGUAGUAUUAUUUGUGUAACCGCA